rnacentral:rRNA from 1 species
GAUGAACGCUGGCGGCGUGCCUAAUACAUGCAAGUCGAGCGAACAGACGAGGAGCUUGCUCCUCUGACGUUAGCGGCGGACGGGUGAGUAACACGUGGAUAACCUACCUAUAAGACUGGGAUAACUUCGGGAAACCGGAUCUAAUACCGGAUAAUAUAUUGAACCGCAUGGUUCAAUAGUGAAAGACGGUUUUGCUGUCACUUAUAGAUGGAUCCGCGCUGCAUUAGCUAGUUGGUAAGGUAACGGCUUACCAAGGCGACGAUGCGUAGCCGACCUGAGAGGGUGAUCGGCCACACGGGAACUGGGACACGGUCCAGACUCCUACGGGAGGCAGCAGUAGGGAAUCUUCCGCAAUGGGCGAAAGCCUGACGGAGCAACGCCGCGUGAGUGAUGAAGGUCUUCGGAUCGUAAAACUCUGUUAUUAGGGAAGAACAAAUGUGUAAGUAACUAUGCACGUCUUGACGGUACCUAAUCAGAAAGCCACGGCUAACUACGUG